rnacentral:rRNA from 1 species
AUUGAACGCUGGCGGCAGGCCUAACACAUGCAAGUCGAACGAGUGGCAGACGGGUGUGUAAUGUCUGGGAAACUGCCUGAUGGAGGGGGAUAACUACUGGAAACGGUAGCUAAUACCGCAUACCAUCAGAUGUGCCCAGAUGGGAUUAGCUAGUUGGUGUGGUAACGGCUCACCAAGGCGACGAUCCCUAGCUGGUCUGAGAGGGGGACCAGCCACACGGGAACGGAGACACGGCCCAGAUGCCUACGUGAGGCAGCAGUGGGUAAUAUGGCACAAUGGGCGCAAGCCUGAUGCAGCCAUGCCGCGUGUAUGAAGAAGGCCUGCGGGUUGUAAAGUACUUUCAGCGGGGAGGCGUUACCCGCAGAAGAAGCCCCGGCUAACUCCGUGCCAGCAGCCGCGGUAAUAC